rnacentral:rRNA from 1 species
UACGGGGGGGGUAAGCGUUGUUCGGAAUUACUGGGCGUAAAGGGCUCGUAGGCGGCCAACUAAGUCAGACGUGAAAUCCCUCAGCUUAACUGGGGAACUGCGUCUGAUACUGGAUGGCUUGGAUUCGGGAGAGGAAUGCGGAAUUCCAGGUGUAGCGGUGAAAUGCGUAGAUAUCUGGAGGAAUACCGGUGGCGAAGGCGGCAUCCUGGACCGAGAUUGACACUGAUGAGCGAAAGCUAGGGGAGCAAACAGG